rnacentral:sRNA from 2 species
CAUAGCAAAUCGCUUAAAAUUCAUUACUGAAUUGCGGGGGAACCAUUCCUUGGGGUGAAUGAAAGGUGCAACCUUUCUAGGGCGUUUAUCUCACCGUCCGAAUCCGGCAGCUAACCUCGUCAGCGAGCAGUGAGAGGAUAC